rnacentral:rRNA from 1 species
CCUACGGGUGGCAGCAGUGGGGAAUAUUGGGCAAUGGGCGCAAGCCUGACGCAGCAACGCCGCGUGAAGGAAGAAGGCUCUCGGGUUGUAAACUUCUUUUAUCAGGGACGAAGCAAGUGACGGUACCUGAUGAAUAAGCCACGGCUAACUACGUGCCAGCAGCCGCGGUAAUACGUAGGUGGCAAGCGUUAUCCGGAUGUACUGGGGGUAAUGGGCGUGUAGGCGGGAAAGCAAGUCAGAUGUGAAAACCAUGGGCUCAACCUGUGGCCUGCAUUUGAAACUGUUUGGCUUGAGUACUGGAGAGGCAGACGGAAUUCCUAGUGUAGCGGUGAAAUGCGUAGAUAUUAGGAGGAACACCAGUGGCGAAGGCGGUCUGCUGGACAGCAACUGACGCUGAGGCGCGAAAGCGUGGGGAGCAAACAGGAUUAGAUACCCUUGUAGUC